UGGGGAAUAUUGGACAAUGGGCGCAAGCCUGAUCCAGCCAUGCCGCGUGAGUGACGAAGGCCUUAGGGUUGUAAAGCUCUUUUGGCGGGGAAGAUAAUGACGGUACCCGCAGAAUAAGCUCCGGCUAACUUCGUGCCAGCAGCCGCGGUAAUACGAAGGGAGCUAGCGUUGUUCGGAAUCACUGGGCGUAAAGCGCACGUAGGUGGGCAGUUAAGUCAGGGGUGAAAGCCCGAGGCUCAACCUCGGAAUUGCCUCUGAUACUGGCUGUCUAGAGUUCGAGAGAGGUGAGUGGAAUUCCUAGUGUAGAGGUGAAAUUCGUAGAUAUUAGGAAGAACACCGGUGGCGAAGGCGGCUCACUGGCUCGAUACUGACACUGAGGUGCGAAAGCGUGGGGAGCAAACAGGAUUAGAUACCCUUGUAGUCCCUGAGCGGGCUGGCAAGGCGCAU
rnacentral:rRNA from 1 species